UACGUAGGAUGCAAGCGUUAUCCGGAUUCAUUGGGUUUAAAGGGUGCGUAGGCGGGCUAUUAAGUCAGUGGUGAAAUCCUGCAGCUUAACUGCAGAACUGCCGUUGAUACUGAUAGUCUUGAGUUUGGUUAAGGUAGGCGGAAUGUGUAAUGUAGCGGUGAAAUGCUUAGAUAUUACACAGAACACCAAUUGCGUAGGCAGCUUACUGAGCCGACACUGACGCUGAGGCACGAAAGCGUGGGGAUCAAACAGGA
rnacentral:rRNA from 1 species